UGGGUUGCAAUUCCCCUACAGAAAUUGGGAAUCGUUGGUAAUCGGGGAUCACCACGCCGGGGGGAAUACUUUCCCGGCCCUUGUACACCCCCCCCGUCACCCCCCGGGAGUUGGGAGUACCCGAAGUAGGUUGCCUAACCCCAAGGAGGGCGUUUCUUAAGGUAAGACCGAGGAUGGGGGGAGUUUUAACAAGGAGAUGCGACU
rnacentral:rRNA from 1 species